rnacentral:lncRNA from 1 species
GGCUGGUGAGCGUCAUCCCUUGCCAGGGCAGUGCCUUGCUGAAAGCAUCCCUCCUGGUGAGGCACAACCCCGUGAUAAGUCAGUUGCUUAGCAUGGAUGAAAAUCGACGGGGAGCUGAGCGGGUGGAGGAUUUUAAUACCUAUCCCUCUCUAACUGCUACGGAAAGGGAAAGUUCAUUGGUUGUCGAUAUUAUCCUGCUGUGAUAAAAGCUUAAGAAGCUGCUUUGCAGAUGCCCACUGUGAGGAGCAUGCUAUAAAUGUUUCCAGCGUGAAGUGAUACAUCACAGCUCAUGGUUGUUCCCACUGAGAAAGAUCCCAGCUCCGGUUCCUUCCAGGGACGCACUUAUGAAAUGCAAUCUACUGGCACCGGCACAAUCAAACACAUAUUGUUCCCAGGUACAAAAUUGGCCACCGGUGAAUUAAUACCGAGAAUGCCUUGCUCUUAGACAGCUCUUCCAUCUGUCAGCCUCAAAAUGAGUUUUGUUUUGUUGUUUUGUUGUUUGUUUGGUUUUGUUUUGUUUUUAAAUGGGGAUUAAUAUCAUCACUUCUGUCCUGCCAGGGGGAAACGGAGGCAGGGGCUGUGCCACUCGUGUCUGUGAGCAGAUUGCAGAUGUGGUCAUCCCAAGUGACAUCCUACACCCAGAUUCGACUUUGUAUAUGGUAAGACUUCUGCAGACUUUUAGUCCAUUUUUUUCCCAAGGAAAUGGAGCUUGGAAGUAACUGCACAUCGUGUGUGUUUUUCUGCCACCUCUGUAACUUUUGGAUGUGUUGAGCAAAUUUGUCAGAGAAACAGAGUUCAUGUUUCUGCUCUUGCCUGCCAACAGGAGCUGAGUGGAAGAGCAAAUCCCCCAAAAUGCCCCUGGUGAAACUCGCAGCAUCAAACACUUCAUCAGCCGUCAGAGCCGCAGCAUGGGCUGGCUGGGGGGAGAUGGAGGAGACUCGACGGGAUGAAAGCUCUCAGCACGAGCUCCCAGCCACCCACGAGACACCAACCUGCGGGGAACCGGCAGCUCCGAGUCUGAUACUCAUGCACGCGGAUUUCCUUUGACCACUGGAGUGUACAUCUGCUCAGAUGUUCUGGAGCCGCAUCAUGAAAGCUCAGGAAAGUUAUUUAUUUCAGCCCAUUUAAAGUGAUUUUGCUAAUGUAUUCCACAGAGUGGGUUUAGUGUGUGAGCUCUUUACUAAAAUCAUUACUGUAUUAAUGAGACCUAACCUAAAGCCACUAAACAUGGCUUUAAAGGAAUAUCUCAAAGCUGCUAUUGAGAUGGAUGGGAGCAGACAGAACGUGUUUGUAAAGUUAUAUUUAGUCAAAUCAAACUGGAACUCAUUAAAUACAGCAAAAUAAUUCACUGAAUAAUUCACUCCGGUUGAAUGUGAAAGAUUUGGAGAACCUUGGGCUGUUUGAUUGAAAAACAGCUUAUUUAUGCUCCCGUGUAUGCGACAAAGCAGAAAUACGAGUUGAAGGUGGAGAGCUCUGUCACCUUGGUGUCAAGGGCCUUCUGUUGAGAAAGGUUCAUUAAAAC